rnacentral:lncRNA from 1 species
CUUUACGUUGUAGGCAAUGGUCAGAAAAUAAGUGUGAAAUUCCAAAAAAGACCCUUUUACAAUUCCAGCUUAUCGUGUACGCACCCAUGGAAGACGGCAAGGUAGAAAGUGGCGUGCAUAGGGCUGGUAGAUGAGAUUUUAACUCUCUUCCUGAAUAAGGAGGCAGCAAUGGCGAAGGGGAUCCAUGCAAGGAGGACCCAUGUAUCUAAUUUAAAAUAGCAUCUUAAAGUCAUCAACAAAAAGGAGACUUUCCCAGUGUUUUACCACCCUUGGAUGGCUAUCAAGAAGAAUUAAAAAUAGCAACGACCUCAAAUUACUGCCCUGUGGCACAGCAGAAACUGCAGAAAAACCCUCAGACAUUGAUUUUGCAACUUUAAAAACCUGUUGUAGUGAGGUCAGGUUAACAUGGCAACAUCGCCCUAGCUCAGUGGAUAAGCAGUAAACCAAGAACGAUUUUAUUUUUUUUUAGGGUUUUUUGACCUUUAUUUUGUUCAAAAAGACCCUGUAGCUGCUUGUUGUAUUUAGGUAUGUAGUACAGAUGCUGUUUCACUAUUUUAUAGUUAAUUUACGUUACCCAGCACCUCUAUUCACUCCCGGGUCCCAUAAGCUUCUAGGGUAAAAGAAAUACAUUAAAACAGCGCCGACAUGUGUUCUAUAAAGAUAUUAGAAAAGUUGUAUAUAGAGAAAUUUUCUUAUAGCAGAAAACCGUUUUAUAAACUGUUACUAAAAUUAGUAUCUUAAAUUAUUUUCAGUCUUUUAAAUACCCAAAUUCAGUUUCGCAGUUUUUUAGGCAUUUUAUUUUUAUGCAAUAUUUUUUUUAUUGCCUUCAAAAAUAAAGAAUAGCGCACACCAAUGAAGCGACCAUAUUUUCGUCCCGUCUGAACUAUUAAUUAUUAUUCUCUUCUAUUAAUAAUUAUUCUCCGCAAACGCAGGUAUCAUUUUCGGCUUGUGAAAGUUCAUUCAACAUUCUGCCACUUAUUUAUUAUUAAUGGGAUAAACUAAUAAAAGGUUACUACUGGA